rnacentral:rRNA from 1 species
AUUGAACGCUGGCGGCAUGCUUUACACAUACAAGUCGAACGGUAACAGGUUAAGCUGACGAGUGGCGAACGGGUGAGUAAUGUAUCGGAACGUGCCCAGUCGUGGGGGAUAACGUAGCGAAAGCUACGCAAUACCGCAUACGAUCUCUGGAUGAAAGCGGGGGACCGCAAGGCCUCGCGCGAUUGGAGCGGCCGAUAUCAGAUUAGGUAGUUGGUGGGGUAAAGGCCCACCAAGCCCACGAUCUGUAGCUGGUCUGAGAGGACGACCAGCCACACUGGGACUGAGACCCGGCCCAGACUCCUACGGGAGGCAGCAGUGGGGAAUUUUGGACAAUGGGGGCAACCCUGAUCCAGCAAUGCCGCGUGCAGGAAGAAGGCCUUCGGGUUGUAAACUGCUUUUGUACGGAACGAAAAGGCUCUGGUUAAUACCUGGGGCUCAUGACGGUACCGUAAGAAUAAGCACCGGCUAACUACGUGCCAGCAGCCGCCGUAA